rnacentral:rRNA from 1 species
AUGCCUAAGCGGACGACCCACACGUACUCGAGCGAGGACGCGCUGCCGGAGGGCCCCGAGUCCGACCUCUUCGUCUACUACUGCAAGCACUGCGCCUCCCACGUCCUCAUCACUGGUCAGUCGGCUCCUUCUCCCUCACGCCCCCCUUUCUUGGUUCCUCUUCGUUGCAGCGUGGGCUUGUAUCUGGAGGCUUUCGAUACCCUAUUGCAGAAAAUGCCAAAGAGGAAGACCGACCGAGCACAUGUUCUAGAUAAGGCAAAGCAUCUUGCGAGGUUAAAUGUGAAAGAUGCAGGAAAAAUCUUGUUGAAACGUGGAGAAGGAAAGCUCGAAAAGCAGUUUCGCAUGACCUGUGUGGGAUGCGACCUUUUUGUUUGCUACCGAUCGGAGGAAGAUUUGGAGCUUGCUCCUUAUAUAUAUGUUGUUGAUGGAGCACUGAGUUCGGUGGCGGCUGAGACAAAUCCACAUGAUGCGCCUGUACCCCCUUGCAUAACACAGUUGCAAGGUGGACUUGUCCAAGUUGCCAUUGAAGUAGAAGACCGAGCACAACGUUCAGCAAUAACAAGAGUGAACGCUGACGAUGUUCGAGUAGCAGUAGCUGCCCCUGCUGCUCGGGGGGAGGCCAACAACGAGUUGCUAGAAUUUAUGGGAAAGGUGCUUGGCUUAAGAUUGAGUCAGAUGACCCUUCAAAGGGGAUGGAAUAAUAAAUCAAAGCUUCUGAUUGUUGAGGAUUUGUCUGCGCGGCAAGUUUAUGAGAAGCUCCUAGAAGCUGUCCAGCCGUAG